GCGACAGAUGAAGGCACAGGCUGGUCUGCCGCUUUCACAGACAGUAGCUUCCUUCGAUGGCAGAGACUGAGACAACACUGUGGCUGGCUUCCCGGUGGUACUUUUCAGUCUCCUCUCUACCCUUCUGAAGGCACAUUGUGAACAUGACUACUGUAUGAUGACCGCACUGGCCUGGAGGCCUGGUUCCUACUCUGUAAGGCCUGCUGGUCCACGGUUAGGACCUCUCAUGCUGUCUAGGCAUGGCUUCAGACUGUCCAAGGCUGCUUCAUCAUUGUGCACUGGUCACCUACUAGAAGCCAGUAGCUGUCGCCUAUCCUCCACUGCCAUUAAGCAGCAACAUGACCAAGGAUCCUAGCAGACAAAGUGACCCUUGAUGAAGGAACACAGUCGUAGAAACUGGAGAUUUGAGCACAUGAUAACCAUAUGCUCUCCCACUGAGCUGGACACCCCCUCC